rnacentral:rRNA from 1 species
UACGGGGGGGGCAAGCGUUGUUCGGAAUUACUGGGCGUAAAGGGUUUGUAGGUGGCUUGCUAAGUCAGACGUGAAAUCCCUCAGCUUAACUGGGGAACUGCGUCUGAUACUGGCGAGCUUGAGUGCAGGAGAGGAACGCGGAAUUCCAGGUGUAGCGGUGAAAUGCGUAGAUAUCUGGAGGAACACCGGUGGCGAAGGCGGCAUCCUGGACCGACAUUGACGCUGAGGCGCGAAAGCCAGGGGAGCGAACGGG